rnacentral:rRNA from 1 species
UUGAAACAAGGAGGUAGUGACAAUAAAUAACAAUGCCGGGCCUUUGUAGGUCUGGCAAUUGGAAUGAGAACAAUUUAAAUCCCUUAUCGAGGAUCAAUUGGAGGGCAAGUCUGGUGCCAGCAGCCGCGGUAAUUCCAGCUCCAAUAGCGUAUAUUAAAGUUGUUGCAGUUAAAAAGCUCGUAGUUGAAUUUGUGGUGUGUCCAGUCGGCCUUUGCUCUUUGAGUGACAGUGUUGUAACUGGUCUGCCAUGUUUGGGUGGAAUCUGUGUGGCAUUAAGUUGUCGUGCAGGGGAUGCCCAUCGUUUACUGUGAAAAAUUAGAGUGUUCAAAGCAGGCUUAUGCCUUGAAUAUAUUAGCAUGGAAUAAUAAUAUAGGACCUUGGUACUAUUUUUGUUGGUUUUGCGCACUGAGGUAAUGAUUAAGAGGGACAGUUGGGGGUAUUUGUAUUCCAUUGUCAGAGGUGAAAUUCUUGGAUUUUUGGAAGACAAACUACUGCG